rnacentral:antisense_RNA from 1 species
CAUGUGAUCAUUUUUUAUGUUGUCCUGCGAGUGAGCUACAUUAAAAAUGUCACACCGUGAUCUCAUGUGCUCAUUUUGAUU